UGACGGUUACCUCUGGUCGCAAGCAGGCAGAUUGGCAUGGCCUGAAGCAGAGUGUGGUGACUCAAGCCUAAUUUAAUCCCAUCACUUGGAAGCCUGAGACUUGUGGGAAAGCUGUAAUUGUAAUGUUGAAGCCUACCUGGGCUAUAUGGUGGAAUCCAACAGACAGACUCAGUAGGGCCAGCUGCCCCUGUCUGUGCUGCCUCUGCAGUUGAAAGAUAUGGAUGACCGCCUCCAAGUGCUGGGCAACUCCCUGUCCAAAUCAUGACACACAGGGAAAGAGUCCUCCCAUCCCUGAAUGUCUCUCCUCUUCUCUGGCUGCUUGUGUUUGGUGUCUAGCAGACUGGUGAUGGUGUCCCUGUGUGUGGAUCUUCCGCUCACACUCCCAGACAUUCUUUGCUAGUCUCAGGAUUGUUUUUAGACAUUGUUUCUUUUUUCUUCUUUUUUUUUGUUUUUUGUUUUGUUUUGUUUUGUUUUUUCGAGACAGGGUUUCUCUGUAUAGCUUUGGAGCCUGUUCUGGAACUCGCUCAGUAAACCAGGAGAUCCUCCUACCUACCUCUGCCUCCCAAGUGCUUGGAUUAAAAGCAUAUGCCACCACUGUCCAGCUAGAAAUUAUUUCUAUAACUAUGACUUCAGCCUCUUUUAUGGAAUUAUCCACUUAGGUUUUUUUUUUUUUUUUUAAUAUGUUGUCUCUUUCACAUUCCCUGACUCCACUCUAGUUAAAAGUCCUUAAUUUUUCUGGAACUAAUUUUUUUUCUUGUAGCCAGUUAACCUAACCAUUGAAACUGGAGGCUCAAUCUUCUCUAUCUCUCUUUUUUUCUUUUCUUUUUUUUUUUUUUUUUUGGUUUUUUUCGAGACAGGGUUUUUCUGUUAGUUUGGAGGCUGUUCUGGAACUCGCUCUAGGCUGGCCCGGAACUCACAGAGAUCCGCCUGCCCCUGCCUCCCGAGUGCUGGGAUUAAAGGCUUGUGCAUCACCAAUGCCUGGCUGUUUGAUUGCUUUUUUAUUUGUUUACUUAGAAUAUCUCACUUAGCCUUGAGUGGCUUGAAUCUCACUAGGUAGCCCAAGCUUUGAAUUUACAGCAACCCUCAUGUCUUGGCCUCCCAAGUGCUGCAAUCAGAGGAAUGAUUUACAAUACUCUGCAGUUUUUCCAACUUCUAAUUAUAAUGUUAUCAAGCAUAAAGUUUAGAAAACAAAAUAAACACAUUG
rnacentral:lncRNA from 1 species